AGAACAAGGCGGCAGAUGAUUACGAAACCAUUGUCUGUCUUAAGCAGCAGCUAGAGGAGGCAUCCCAAAAAAAUACAGAAAUGAGGCUGGAGCUGCGGCACACUCUGGUGCACAGCCUGCGCACCGAGAAGGCAAAACUUCAAGAAAAGCUGGAGAGCCGGGACAAAAAGUUCUACUGAGGUCUACUGAGUCUCCUGAAAUGUAUAUAAUGUUACACAUGUUGCGAGCACGUGACAAACGAGCGCAUACCUAUGCGGCAUGCUAAAGACGUUCCGGACGAGGAAUCGCAUGAAGGGCGAUCAAAUCAGUCGGGCGAAGGGACCGGACGAGGCAAAGC